rnacentral:rRNA from 1 species
AUUGAACGCUGGCGGCAGGCCUAACACAUGCAAGUCGAACGAGUGGCGGACGGGUGAGUACUGUCUGGGAAUCUGCCUGAUGGAGGGGGAUAACUACUGGAAACGGUCGCUAAUACCGCAUACCCACAGAUGUGCCCAGAUGGGACUAGCUUGUUGGUGGGGUAACGGCUCACCAAGGAGACGAUCCCUAGCUGGUCUGAGAGGAUGACCAGCCACACUGGAACUGAGACACGGUCCAGACUCCUCCGGGAGGCAGCAGUGGGGAAUAUUGCACAAUGGGCGCAAGCCUGAUGCAGCCAUGCCGCGUGUAUGAAGAAGGCCUUCGGGUUGUAAAGUACUUUCAGCGGGGAGGCGUUACCCGCAGAAGAAGCACCGGCUAACUCCGUGCCAGCAGCCGCGGUAAUAC